UACGUAGGAGGCGAGCGUUGUCCGGAGUUACUGGGCGUAAAGCGUGCGCAGGCGGUCUGUUAAGACCGAUGUGAAAUCCCCGGGCUUAACCUGGGAACUGCAUUGGUGACUGGCAGGCUUUGAGUGUGGCAGAGGGAGGUAGAAUUCCACGUGUAGCAGUGAAAUGCGUAGAGAUGUGGAGGAAUACCGAUGGCGAAGGCAGCCUCCUGGGCCAACACUGACGCUCAUGCACGAAAGCGUGGGGAGCAAACAGG
rnacentral:rRNA from 1 species